GACGAACGCUGGCGGCGUGCUUAACACAUGCAAGUCGAACGGAAAGGCCCUGCUUUUGUGGGGUGCUCGAGUGGCGAACGGGUGAGUAACACGUGAGUAACCUGCCCUUGACUUUGGGAUAACUUCAGGAAACUGGGGCUAAUACCGGAUAGGAGCUCCUGCUGCAUGGUGGGGGUUGGAAAGUUUCGGCGGUUGGGGAUGGACUCGCGGCUUAUCAGCUUGUUGGUGGGGUAGUGGCUUACCAAGGCUUUGACGGGUAGCCGGCCUGAGAGGGUGACCGGCCACAUUGGGCCUGCGAUACGGCCCAGAAUCCUACGGGAGGCAGCAGUGGGGAAUAUUGCGCAAUGGGCGGAAGCCUGAUGCAGCAACGCCGCGUGCGGGAUGACGGCCUUCGGGUUGUAAACCGCUUUCGCCUGUGACGAAGCGUGAGUGACGGUAAUGGGUAAAGAAGCACCGGCUAACUACGUG
rnacentral:rRNA from 1 species